AUUGAACGCUGGCGGCAUGCCUUACACAUGCAAGUCGAACGGUAACGCGGGGCAACCUGGCGACGAGUGGCGAACGGGUGAGUAAUGUAUCGGAACGUGCCCAGUUGUGGGGGAUAACUGCUCGAAAGAGCAGCUAAUACCGCAUACGACCUGAGGGUGAAAGCGGGGGAUCGCAAGACCUCGCGCAAUUGGAGCGGCCGAUAUCAGAUUAGGUAGUUGGUGAGGUAAAGGCUCACCAAGCCGACGAUCUGUAGCUGGUCUGAGAGGACGACCAGCCACACUGGGACUGAGACACGGCCCAGACGCCUGCGGGAGGCAGCAGUGGGGAAUUUUGGACAAUGGACGCAAGUCUGAUCCGGCCAUGCCGCGUGCGGGAAGAAGGCCUUCGGGUUGUAAACCGCUUUUGUCAGGGAAGAAACGCUCUGGGUUAAUACCCCGGGGUAAUGACGGUACCUGAAGAAUAAGCACCGGCUAACUACGUGCCAGCCGCCGCGGUAAAAC
rnacentral:rRNA from 1 species